GCAUAAGCUACCACUUUACCUUCUUGCAUAAGUACACCUCCUAAACCCAACUUGGACGCAUCACAAUACACCACAAAAGGUUCAUCUGACUUCGGCAAAAUUAACACUGGAGCAGUCGUCAAACGCUUCUUCAAUUCACCGAAACUUUUCUCACAAUGGACGUCCCACACAAAAGUUUUACCUUUACAAGUCAACUGCGUAAGCGGAAGAGCUAACUUGGAAAACCCUUCAAUAAA
rnacentral:lncRNA from 1 species